CACAACAGGAUGAGGGUGGCGGUGGUCGGCGGCGGGGUGAGCGGGCUGACGGCGGCGCACGAGCUGCUCGCCACGAGCGGAGGCGGCGUGCAUGUGACCCUGUACGAGCAGGAGGAGAGCCUCGGAGGGCGCUCCAGGACGGUGGCCGUCGACGACGGCGCCGCCGGGUGCGUCAAGCUCGACCUCGGCUUCAUGGGCUUCAGCCAGGUAACAUAUCCCCAUAUGGUGGAAUGGUUAGAAGGCCUCGGGGUGGAGAUGGAGAGUUCAGACAUGUCUUUCUCAGUGAGUACACAACCGGAUGGCAGCGGAGGAUAUGAGUGGGGCAAUGGCUACGGUAUCUCAAGCCUCUUGGCACAAAAAGCCAAUAUAUUGAAAACAAGUUUUUGGCGCAUGCUCCGUGAGAUAUUCAAGUUCAAGAACGAUGCUCUGACGUACCUGGAGAACCAUGAACAUAACCCUGAUCUGGACUGUAAUGAGACAUUGGGGCAGUUCAUUCAGUUGCAUGGAUAUUCCCUAUUAUUCCAAGAGGCUUAUCUUAUUCCAGUCUGUGCAGGCAUGUGGUCAUCUUCAUCACAAGGCGUUCUUAGCUUGUCCGCUUUCUUCGUGCUAUCAUUUUUCCGUAACCAUGACCUUCUUCAGCUGUUUAGUUACCCCCAGUUGCCCACUGUCAAGGCUUGUUCGCAGUCCUUUGUAGACAAGGUAAAAGGAGAAUUGGAGAGCAUGGGCUGUCGAAUUAAAACAAGCUGUUGGGUCAAAUCUGUUUCAAGCCUUGAUGGAGCAGCUGGCUACAGAGUCUUGGAAAAUGAUGGUUCAGAGGAAACAUACGACAGUGUCAUCCUUGGGGUCCAUGCACCUAAUGCUCUCAAAGUAUUAGGAGCUGAAGCUACACAUCACGAACUGAGAAUUCUAGCUGCCUGUCAGUAUGUCCAAAGAGAUAUAUACCUCCACCGUGAUAAAAAUCUGAUGCCCCAAAAUUCGUCCGCAUGGAGUGCCUGGAAUUUCCUGGGGACAACUAGCAUGGGUUUUUCUGUUACUUACUGGCUAAACAAAAUUCAGAAAAUUGAAUCUGUCAGGCCUUUCCUGGUGACACUCAACCCCCCUCGUGUUCCGGAUCAUGUGUUGCUUAAAUGGUCUACAAGCCUUCCUGUUCCUUCUGUGGCUGCGGCCAAGGCUUAUCUUCAGCUUGAUCAGAUCCAGGGAAAGAGAGGAAUAUGGUUCUGUGGGGCAUAUCAAGGUCAUGGCUUCCAUGAAGAUGGAUUGAAGGCUGGGAAAGCAGCAGCUCAAGGUUUGCUUGGAAAGAAAUUUCAGCUUCUGCGGAACCCAAAGCAGAUGAUUCCAUCAUGGACCGAGGCUGGGACGCGCCUUCUAGUUGCAAGAUUUUUCAACCAAUUCAUAACCAUCGGCAGCUUGAUAUUGGUCGAAGGAGGAGGUAGUGUGUUGAGCUUUGGUAAAGUUUGCGACAAAUGCAGUAUAAAAUCUGUCAUGCGAGUUCAUGACCCCUUGUUCUAUUGGAAGGUUGCAACAGAAGGAAACCUUGGCUUGGCAGAAGCCUAUAUUAACGGAUGUUUCUCUUUUCUUGACAAGCGAGAAGGCCUUCUGAAUCUUUUCCUGAUACUCAUUGUUAACAGAGAUGUGCGUAGGAGCUGCAGGAGUGCCAGAAAAGGGAGUCGGUGGACACCCUUGCAUGUAAUAGCACGGUUGGCACAUUCUAAAUACAUUUUACGCGAAGUCUCGAGGAAGAACACUGUGACACAAACUCGUCGGAACAUCUCUCAGCACUAUGAUCUUAGUAAUGAAUUUUUCUCGCUUUUUCUGGACAAAUCGAUGACUUACUCUUGUGCUGUUUUCAAGAUGGAGAAUGAAAGCUUAGAAGUAGCCCAGCAACGUAAGCUUAGCCUUCUAAUCGACAAGGCUAAAGUCAAGAGGGGCCAUCAUGUUCUUGAUAUCGGUAGCGGCUGGGGAAGUUUAGCAAUACAAGCGGUCAAACAAACUGGCUGCAAAUACACUGGAGUCACUUUGUCAGCGGAGCAGCAUAAAUACGCAGAGAGAAAAGUCAGAGAAGCUGGCUUAGAGGACCACAUAAGUUUUAUGCUGUGCGACUACCGUCAAAUACCACCUUGCAAGUAUGAUGCAAUCAUAAGCUGCGGUAUGAUCGAACAUGUUGGCCAUGAAUACAUGGACGAAUUUUUUGCCUGCUGCGAGUCUUACUUGGCAGAAGAUGGCAUAUUGGUUCUCCAGGAAAACCCAAUGAAACAUACUCCUUCCUAUCCAAGCAAGACCUUAGGCUUACACGAUCAUGAACUAACGAUUAUCUGCAAAUACAUACAUGUGCAUUAUUUAGUUCAUCUCAGCUCCAGAGGAACGGUACGAGCAAUACAGAAGGAGGACAGACUUCAUAAAAGAAUACAUAUUUCCUGGCGGUUGCCUUCCUUCUUUGGGCCGUGUAAUGUCUGCAAUGACCACAUCAUCAAGGUUCUGCAUAGAGCAUGUGGAGAAUAUUGGGCCUCAUUACUACACAACUCUGAUGCACUGGAGGGACAACUUCAUGACCAACAAAGAUCAAGUUUUAGCCCUGGGCUUCGAUGAGAAGUUCAUCCGUAUAUGGGAAUUCUAUCUCAUAUACUCUGCAGCUGGUUUCAAGUCACGAGCAGUUGGAGAUUACCAGGUUGUUUUCUCUCGCCCAGGCAACCGUCGGCUAGCCCAGCCUUGAUGGCUGAAGACAGCGUAUCCUUCUCCGUUCGGCUGUGUCGAACUGCUACUUCUCUUACGACCUUUCAAUAAGUCAGCCCUAGAAUGGCUUGUUCGUACGAGCCGCCUGAUCUGGUGGUUUGGUGAUCUAUCCUGUUUUAAUCACGCAAUCAUUAGUUUUUCAUGGCAGUGUUUUGUUAUCUAUCGAUCAUUAGUUUUCCGUGGCAGUGUAUUGUUAUCUAUCAAUAAUGCAAGUGUUACAUUAGAUUGGUUACUGGAUUUGAGAAUUGUAUGGAAGGAACUGAUUUGUGGGGGGUGUACCGAAGCAGAAGUGUCUUUCUUAUUGUAGAGUAACCAGAAGAUACUUCACGCUCAGUUGCGGAGAUUGGUUGCAAUAUUGUUUUUUAUGAGACUUUAUGGUUUGAAACAUCAAUAUAUUAAUGAAUAAUAUGAAA